GAUGAACGCUGGCGGCGUGCCUAAUACAUGCAAGUCGAGCGAACAGACGAGGAGCUUGCUCCUGUGACGUUAGCGGCGGCCGAGGGAGUAACACGUGGAUAACCUACCUAUAAGACUGUGAUAACUUCGGGAAACCGGAGCUAAUACCGGAUAAUAUAUUGAACCGCAUGGUUCACUAGUGAAAGACGGUUUUGCUGUCACUUAUAGAUGGAUCCGCGCCUCAUUAACUAGUUGGUAAGGUAAGAGCUUCCAAAGGCAGCGCUGGGUAGCCGACCGGCGAGGGUGAGCGGCCGCACUGGAACGGAGACACGGUCCAGACUCCUACGGGAGGCAGCAGUAGGGAGUGUACAGUACUGGGCGAGAGCCUGACGGAUCAACGCCGGGUGAGUGGUGAAGGUCGUCCGAUCGUAUAAAUCUGUUAUUAGGGAAGAACAAAGGUGUAAGUAUUUAGGCAGGGCUUACGGUAACCUAGUCAGAAAGCAACGGCUAACUACGUG
rnacentral:rRNA from 1 species